rnacentral:rRNA from 1 species
CCUACGGGUGGCAGCAGUAGGGAAUAUUGCUCAAUGGGGGAAACCCUGAAGCAGCAACGCCGCGUGGAGGAUGAAGGUUUUCGGAUUGUAAACUCCUUUUGUUAGAGAAGAUAAUGACGGUAUCUAACGAAUAAGCACCGGCUAAUGCCGUGCCAGCAGCCGCGGUAAUACGCAGGGUGCAAGCGUUAUUCGGAAUUACUGGGCGUAAAGAGCGCGUAGGCGGGAUAGCAAGUCAGAUGUGAAAUCCUAUGGCUUAACCAUAGAACUGCAUUUGAAACUGUUAUUCUAGAGUAUGGGAGAGGUAGGUGGAAUUCUUGGUGUAGGGGUGAAAUCCGUAGAGAUCAAGAGGAAUACUCGUGGCGAAGGCGACCUGCUAGAACAUAACUGACGCUGAGGCGCGAAAGCGUGGGUAGCAAACAGGAUUAGAUACACGUGUAGUC